rnacentral:rRNA from 1 species
GUGGGGAAUAUUCCGCAAUGGACGAAAGUCUGACGGAGCAACGCCGCGUGAGUGAUGAAGGUUUUCGGACUGUAAAGCUCUGUUGUUUAGGACGAAAGUGCCUGUUGCAAAUAGUUACAGGUAUUGACGGUACUGAACGAGGAAGCCACGGCUAACUACGUGCCAGCAGCCGCGGUAAUACGGAGGUGGCAAGCGUUGUCCGGAAUUAUUGGGCGUAAAGAGCAUGUAGGCGGGAAUCUAAGUCUGUUGUGAAAAUGCGGGGCUCAACCCCGUAUUGCGAUGGAAACUGGGUUUCUUGAGUGCAGGAGAGGAAAGGGGAAUUCCCAGUGUAGCGGUGAAAUGCGUAGAUAUUGGGAGGAACACCAGUGGCGAAGGCGCCUUUCUGGACUGUGUCUGACGCUGAGAUGCGAAAGCCAGGGUAGCGAACGGGAUUAGAUACCCCGGUAGUCC